AUGUGGGGAAAUGAAAUCUCUUCUGAUUCCCACCAGAGUUUGUGGAGGGUCUCUGCAGCUACGACUGCCACCCAGUCUGUCUGGAUCAGGGCUGGAGAACUUUCUGGUGGAGGAAACAAUGAAAACAGUGUGGCCGCGCCCACCCUCACGGUCCUGCCCCCCUCCAGCGUGGAGCUGCAGCAGGGGAAGGCCACACUCGUGUGUUUGGCCAACAAGGGCUUCCCCUCAGACUGGAGGCUGAGCUGGAAGGUGGACGGGAGCAGCUGGAGCUCGGGGGUUAGCCAGAGCCCCGGGCUUCUGCAGAAGAACGACGGCCUCUACAGCUGGAGCAGCACCCUGACCCUCCAGGAGGACCAGUGGCUAAAGAAGACAGUGACCUGUGAGGCCACCAAGGACUCCCAGCCUCCUGUCAGCCAAACCCUGAGGAGAGAGCAAUGCACUGGGCAGUGAGCGUCCACGCGUGUGUUGGAGCUGCUAGAGCUCCUCUUGAUCUUCAGUGAGCUCAAACAUGGCUCUGCUUAAUGCUCUGAUCUUCAUCUCAUCACUUCAUCAUCACAAUAAAGAGCUUCAGUAUUAAUAUCUA